rnacentral:rRNA from 1 species
AUACGGAGGACCCGAGCGUUAUCCGGAUUUAUUGGGUUUAAAGGGUGCGCAGGCGGCCAUUUAAGUCAGCGGUUAAAUCGUGGGGCUCAACCCCAUUCUGCCGUUGAUACUGGGUGGCUUGAUUGCGGUCGAGGUUGGCGGAAUUCGUUGUGUAGCGGUGAAAUGCAUAGAUAUGACGAAGAACACCGAUUGCGUAGGCAGCUGACCAGACCGCAAAUGACGCUCAUGCACGAAAGUGCGGGGAUCGAACAGGAUUAGAUACCCUGGUAGUCCGCACAGUAAACGAUGAAUACUUGUUUUCGGCGAUAUAAUGUCGGAGGCAAAGCGAAAGCGAUAAGUAUUCCACCUGGGGAGUACGCCGGCAACGGUGAAACUCAAAUGAAUUGACGGGG